GGAUGGGCCUCGGGGCCCUAUCAGNNNNNNGGUNNNNUAAUGGCUCAACCAAGGCUUCGACGGGNNNCCGGCCUGAGNNNGUGACCGNCCACACUGGGACUGAGACACGGGCCCAGAUUCCUACGGGAGGCAGCAGUGGGGAAUAUUGCACAAUGGGCGCAAGCCUGAUGCAGCAACGCCGCGUGAGGGAUGACGGCCUUCGGGUUGUAAACCUCUUUUAGCAGGGAAGAAGCGAAAGUGACGGUACCUGCAGAAAAAGCGCCGGCUAACUACGUGCCAGCAGCCGCGGUAAUACGUAGGGCGCAAGCGUUAUCCGGAAUUAUUGGGCGUAAAGAGCUCGUAGGCGGUUUGUCGCGUCUGCUGUGAAAUCCGGAGGCUCAACCUCCGGCCUGCAGUGGGUACGGGCAGACUAGAGUGCGGUAGGGGAGAUUGGAAUUCCUGGUGUAGCGGUGGAAUGCGCAGAUAUCAGGAGGAACACCGAUGGCGAAGGCAGAUCUCUGGGCCGUAACUGACGCUGAGGAGCGAAAGGGUGGGGAGCAAACAGGCUUAGAUACCCUGGUAGUCCACCCCGUAAACGUUGGGAACUAGUUGUGGGGUCCAUUCCACGGAUUCCGUGACGCAGCUAACGCAUUAAGUUCCCCGCCUGGGGAGUACGGCCGCAAGGCUAAAACUCAAAGGAAUUGACGGGGACCCGCACAAGCGGCGGAGCAUGCGGAUUAAUUCGAUGCAACGCGAAGAACCUUACCAAGGCUUGACAUAUACGAGAACGGGCCAGAAAUGGUCAACUCUUUGGACACUCGUAAACAGGUGGUGCAUGGUUGUCGUCAGCUCGUGUCGUGAGAUGUUGGGUUAAGUCCCGCAACGAGCGCAACCCUCGUUCUAUGUUGCCAGCACGUAAUGGUGGGAACUCAUGGGAUACUGCCGGGGUCAACUCGGAGGAAGGUGGGGAUGACGUCAAAUCAUCAUGCCCCUUAUGUCUUGGGCUUCACGCAUGCUACAAUGGCCGGUACAAAGGGCUGCAAUACCGCGAGGUGGAGCGAAUCCCAAAAAGCCGGUCCCAGUUCGGAUUGAGGUCUGCAACUCGACCNNNNNNAGUCGGAGUCGCUAGUAAUCGCAG
rnacentral:rRNA from 1 species